rnacentral:rRNA from 1 species
GUUAUAUGGUCAAGCGAAUAAGCGCACAUGGUGGAUGCCUUGGCGGUCAGAGGCGAUGAAGGACGUGGUAGCCUGCGAAAAGUGUCGGGGAGCUGGCAACAAGCUUUGAUCCGGCAAUAUCCGAAUGGGGGAACCCACUGUUUAGGCAGUAUCUUUGAGUAAAUUCAUAGCUCAAGGAGGCGAACCUGGUGAACUGAAAUAUCUAAGUAACCAGAGGAAAAGAAAUCAACAGAGAUUCCCUGAGUAGUGACGAGCGAACGGGGAUUAGCCCUUAAGCUAGUAUGGUUUUAGGAAAGCAAUCUGGAAAGGUUGGCCAUAGAAGGUGAUAGCCCUGUAUCCGAAAGGGCCGUACUAGUGAAGAUGAGUAGGACGGGGCACGUGAAACCUUGUCUGAAUAUGGGGGGUCCAUCCUCCAAGGCUAAAUACUCCUGACCGACCGAUAGUGAACUAGUACCGUGAGGGAAAGGCGAAAAGAACCCCGGAGAGGGGAGUGAAAUAGAACCUGAAACCAUGUGCGUACAAGCAGUAGGAGCCCUUAUGGGUGACUGCGUACCUUUUGUAUAAUGGGUCAGCGACUUACUGUUCGUGGCGAGCUUAACCGUAUAGGGGAGGCGAAGGGAAACCGAGUCUGAUAAGGGCGCAUAGUCGCGGGCAGUAGACCCGAAACCGGGUGAUCUAGUCAUGUCCAGGGUGAAGGUGCUGUAACAGGUACUGGAGGCCCGAACCCACUCCCGUUGCAAAGGUAGGGGAUGAGGCGUGAUUAGGAGUGAAAAGCUAAUCGAACCCGGAGAUAGCUGGUUCUCCUCGAAAGCUAUUUAGGUAGCGCCUCAUAUGUAUCCUCUCGGGGGUAGAGCACUGUUAUGGCUAGGGGGUCAUCGCGACUUGCCAAACCAUUGCAAACUCCGAAUACCGAGAAGGACUGUAUGGGAGACACACGGCGGGUGCUAACGUCCGUCGUGAAAAGGGAAACAACCCAGACCCACAGCUAAGGUCCCAAAUUCAUAGCUAAGUGGAAAACGAUGUGGAAAGGCAUAGACAGCCAGGAGGUUGGCUUAGAAGCAGCCAUCCUUUAAAGAAAGCGUAAUAGCUCACUGGUCGAGUCGGUCUGCGCGGAAGAUUUAACGGGGCUAAGCUAUGAACCGAAGCUUGGGGUGCAUAUUUUUAUAUGCGCGGUAGAGGAGCGUUCCGUAAGCCUGUGAAGGUGAGUUGAGAAGCUUGCUGGAGGUAUCGGAAGUGCGAAUGCUGACAUGAGUAACGAUAAUAUGGGUGAAAAACCCAUACGCCGAAAGCCUAAGGUUUCCUUGCGCAACGUUAAUCGGCGCAGGGUUAGUCGGCCCCUAAGGCGAGGGCGAAAGCCGUAGUCGAUGGGAAGCAGGUUAAUAUUCCUGCACCUCGCGUGAGUGCGAUGGAGGGACGGAGAAGGCUAGGUGUACCGGGCGUUGGUUGUCCCGGGGAAAGGAGGUAGGCUGGUUCCUUAGGAAAAUCCGGGGGUCCUUUUAAAGCCGAGCACCGAGACGAGUCUUUUUAGAUGAAGUCACUGAUGCCACGCUUCCAGGAAAAGCUUCUAAGCUUCAGCUCACGAAGACCGUACCGUAAACCGACACAGGUAGGUAGGAUGAGAAUUCUCAGGCGCUUGAGAGAACUCGGGUGAAGGAACUAGGCAACAUGGCACCGUAACUUCGGGAGAAGGUGCACCCUUUUUGGUGGCGCGUGCGCGUUAUAGCUGAAGAGGGUCGCAGAAACCAGGCCGCUGCGACUGUUUAUCAAAAACACAGCACUCUGCAAACACGAAAGUGGACGUAUAGGGUGUGACGCCUGCCCGGUGCUGGAAGGUUAAUUGAUGGGGUUAGCUGUAAAAAGCGAAGCUCUUGAUCGAAGCCCCAGUAAACGGCGGCCGUAACUAUAACGGUCCUAAGGUAGCGAAAUUCCUUGUCGGGUAAGUUCCGACCUGCACGAAUGGCGUAACGACAGCGGCGCUGUCUCCACCCGAGACUCAGUGAAAUUGAAAUCGCUGUGAAGAUGCAGCGUUCCCGUGGCAAGACGGAAAGACCCCGUGAACCUUUACUAUAGCUUUACACUGAACGUUGAGUUCGUCUGUGUAGGAUAGGUGGGAGGCUAUGAAACCAUGACGCUAGUUGUGUUGGAGCCAUCCUUGAAAUACCACCCUGUCGUGCUUGACGUUCUAACCUAGUUCCGUUAUCCGGAUCAGGGACAGUGUAUGGUGGGUAGUUUGACUGGGGCGGUCUCCUCCCAAAGAGUAACGGAGGAGCACGAAGGUACGCUCAGCGCGGUCGGACAUCGCGCACUGUGUGCAAAGG